UAGCCGUAGGGGAACCUGCGGCUGGAUCACCUCCUUUCUAAGGAAAACAGCCGAGCCCUUCGGGGUGAGGCCAAUCCUAGGUCAGGGUCUGCAUGUGGAAGACGACUCGCUGUUUCGUUUUGAGGGACCGGUGCCGGAGUUUGCGAGAGCAGACGGGCCAGGGAGCUCUUU
rnacentral:misc_RNA from 1 species